GCGCCUGAGUGAAGAAAUUGAAAAGCUCUUAAAAAUGGUUUGACUGUUUUGCCGCUUGGACGAAUAAGACAAAUCGCUUUGCGAAAAUCACUCUGGAGCAAUAAAUAAUUCCACUGAACUUAGCAGCGCAUUAAAGCCCCUAAAAGCAAUGAGAAAAUUUUCUUGCUUUAUUAAAAAUGAAUGCGUACAAUUUGGCUAAGUGCAUUUGCCUCCAUUUGGCGCGCACUUACAUUAAUACGUACGUUCUGCAUGUUUGUGUGGAUAUCUUCUGCUUAGAUAACAGAAUUUAAUUCGUCGCAAUUUAUGAAAAAGUACGAAAAUUGUUUGUUUACAAAGUGUCAGGCAAAAUGUCGGCACCAACAAUGCCAGCAGGCACUCUUACAUACGUACAAAUGGGUAUGGUAUCUGAGCGCCAUAUAUAUGCAGACUGUCAGAACUUCCCGAGCAAUUGUGGUGCUUCUUGAGACCCGAAAGCCAGACAAGUCUUCAGGCCGUUGCAUUUAUUAAUAACACAGUUCUGCGGAAAGCGAAAGCAGCCAAACUGAAAUUGCGAAACAGAAAUGAGCUUUAUUUGUUCCUCUGUGCGCUACGAUACUCAUAGUAUUGGAUAUAUGAAAGCACCUUACAGUGGUUAUUGCUGGCUGUAUAUUAGGGCUGUCAUAGAGGGAUCAUCGCCUAUUUGAGGAGAUUAUAAUGCCACGAGCGUCACGCAGCGGGCAACUCAAAGCCAUGUGAUGAGUUUGAUUUACCAGGCGAUAGCUAAAGCCAAAUCAGAGCCGGAAUGAAGUAGUAAGAAAGCAGGUGGUUAAACUAAAACAGCCCUUACUCAAUGCAAUUAACAAGCUGGCAAUUAAUUGUAGUAAUAAGUGCAUUAUAAAAAGCUUCGUGCUUUUCGUGCACAUUGCUCAUACGCCGCGUGGGACGGGCGGUAGUUAGGCGACUUGGCUUCUGUUUGGCUUGACUAUUACUCUUUUUUAUUAAGCGUCAUUUCAUAAUCGUUAUGCAAAGCGCAAGCACAAUAACCGUUGGCCAAAGUAUGGCAACGCCCCCGUCAAACCUGAUGUGGGGAUGAGGAGCGGGCUGAGGAGCAGGAUGGGGCAGGAGCAGUCAGCUGCCAGCGACAGGCCACGACAUCAAUGACAACAACAGCGAUGGCAUAACACUAAUGAAAAUUUGUGAGCGGGCGGAGCAGGAUGUUAGGGGUGGGGAAGUGGGAUGGAGGGGAGCAGCGGACAACAUUGACGCUGCAUUUUAUCCCUGGCCGAAGACAAGACCACAGCAACAGCACCAAACACGGUCGUGCUGGAAGCGCUCGUCGGAUGAGUGCGCUUUUGGCAGGCACUGUGGUGAGGGACACACAUUUCGGGGGUUGUCCAAAAUAGCCUUCAAGGUCGAACGUGUGAAAAUGAGCCCCAUUUAUUAAAGCCUUCUGGGGAGAAAUCAUUUGUUCUCCAAAACUUUUGUUUUCUCAAAGCCUAAAGAGUAUUAUUAUAAUCGUGCUUGAGUUUUUCGAGGUACUUUAGAGAUAAAUAGAAGACCCACCAUUAUGCAUUCACUAUAUCAUUCACAACCUUUUUAUAGAUGCAUUAUUUAUAGUUUUAACUGAAUAAAAUAAUCGAAAAUAAUUCGUUGUUGUUUGUCUUGAUG